UAUGAGCUUCUCCCAUAUAUGAUAGUACAUGCACAGUCCCAUUUAGAUUCACUGCUAAUGAGCCAUUCAUACCAUGGCGUAUGCUAUCCCCGCGCUUCUCAGCUGGGUCGUGACCGGUCCAAAGGAUUUGCGCAUCAGGAGAGUGUCCCUCGUGAGGUCCUGGUAGAAUGUAAGCGUUGAAUUCUCGAAAGUGAGUGGUGCCUUGCCCUUCAGUGCCAACAUUAUUUGGAUUUUGUCCAACAAGUUGAUGCAUCUGAGAAUGACAUCACAUAUGGAGGGUGUCGUGCGAAGAGUAGGGCUUGGGAGACGGUACACACUGUCAAUAUUCAUUUUUUUGGCCACAGCGUGAGGCAGGGUAGUAGCCAGUAUUCUUCUGAUAUAUUGUGGAAGUUCUUCUGCGGUGACCACUGAGGGGAUGCCCCUUAUCUUAAUAUUCGUGCAUCUCUGCCGGUCUUUGAGUGUUGAGUCUGAGUGACAGG